rnacentral:rRNA from 1 species
CCCUUAGAUGUCCUGGGCCGCACGCGCGCUACACUGAUGCAUUCAACGAGUUUUACCUUGGCCGAGAGGCCUGGGCAAUCUUUUAAACCUGCAUCGUGAUAGGGAUAGAUUAUUGCAAUUAUUGAUCUUGAACGAGGAAUUCCUAGUAAACGCAAAUCAUCAAUUUGUAUUGAUUACGUCCCUGCCCUUUGUACACACCGCCCGUCGCACCUACCGAUUGAAUGGUCCGGUGAAGCCUCGGGAUUGUGGCCAGUUCACUUUAUUGGGAGUUGGCUGCGAGAACUUGUCUAAACCUUAUCAUUUAGAGGAAGGUGAAGUCGUAACA